AUUCCUUUUCCAGGUUAACCAGAAAGUUUCAAUAGUUGAUUUCCUGACCACAGAGAUAUAGAUUUAAGUGUUCUAUUAGGUUGCACACUAAUAUAGAUCUUAUCAAUUAGCAAUCCAUACUUCUUUUUUGGUUGUUUUACAGGUAUAAGUGUGCAAGUUAUCCUUAAGAGUUAGAAAUGUAUUUCCAUUUUUAUUUUAUGUGACUAUUAUUCUCCUAAACCACUAUAUAGGAUAAGCCCCAAAUAUGCUAUCUUUCCAAAGAUGAGAGAUUCUUCAGUGAUACUCAAUAAUCAAAUAUAAAAUUUAAAUGUUAUUUU
rnacentral:lncRNA from 1 species